GUUAUAGGAAGGAUUUUCUUUUUUAUUAUUUUUGUUUGAAAAAAUUGGUUUUAUGAUAGUGAAUAGUGUAGUAAUAGAAAUGAUUUUAGCUUUAAAAAGAAGGCUUUUCUUGUCGUACCUUGUGUAUCAGGGUUUAUCUAAUUUUGCUUGAUAAUUCAGGUUUCCCGAUUUCGAAGGAGUUAUGCUUAAAUUUAUUUUAGUGUUGAAUAACUACUUAUAAUUUUAGCAUGGAAAUGAAACGUUAUUCGCUUUUGAUUGUAUCUGGUUUCCUAAGAAAUUGAUUUAAUUAGGAGGGCAUGAGCUGUUUGGGUUAUUUUUUACUUUAACUGUCUUGUUUCUUAAUAUUCAGGGGGACAAGCUCCUGAAUAAAUUUAUAUAAGAUCUUUGUUUAUAAAUUUUUAUAGGAUUAGAAUUUUCCAUUGUUUUAGUAUGUUAUAAUUAGUGUUUAUUUUCUUUGAUUUUUUUUUCUUUAUUUAUUUAUUAGGAUUUUUUCUUUGAUUUUUUCUGGUUUGUAAUUAUGAUGAAAUUAGUAUAUUAUUUUGUAUUCAUAUGUUUUUUUUUUUAGUUAAAUAGAAGGAACUCGGCAAACGCGGUUUUCACCUGUUUAUUAAAAACAUGUCUUUUUGUUUAUGAUUUAAGGUCGGGCCUGCCCAAUGAUUUUUAAAUGGCCGCAGUAUUUUGACUGUGCAAAGGUAGCAUAAUCAUUAGUUUCUUAAUUAGGAGCUGGAAUGAAAGGUUUGAUGAAAGACUAACUGUCUCUUGUUUAUUUAAUAUAAUUUUAUUUUUGAGUAAGAAAGCUUAAAUUUUAUAGAAAGACGAGAAGACCCUAUAGAGUUUUAUAUUUAUUUUCGUUGUAUUUGUUAAGAUUUAUGUUUUUUAAUGAUUUUAAGUAUUUUGUUGGGGUGACAUAAAAAUUAACAUAACUUUUUAUUAUUUUUACGCUUAUUUGCGGCUUGUUGAUCCUUGUUUUUGGAUUAUAAGAUUAAAUUACCUUAGGGAUAACAGCGUUAUUUUUCCUGAAAGUUCUUAUUGAUGGGAAAGUUUGCGACCUCGAUGUUGGAUUAAAAUUUACUUUUGGUGCAGAAGCUGAAUAGUUAGGUCUGUUCGACCUUUAAAAUUUUACAUGAUCUGAGUUUAGACCGGCGUGAGCCAGGUUGGUUUCUAUCUUUUGUUAAUGUUGCUGUUUUAGUACGAAAGGACCAGGCGGCAAAAUCAUAUUUUUUUGUUGAAUACUAUUA
rnacentral:rRNA from 1 species